UUCUAUAUGAUUUACGACGGCAAGGUGUUGGGGCCAGACAGUACAAAUCAAAAGCUAAGCAACUGACCCAGAUUAGCGGUAAACCAGUGGUGUCUUGUGGUGAAUGAGUAAAGUUCGUUACAAAUUACUUGAACCUAUUCAAGUAAUUUUCACGGCCAUCAACGGUAAUUGACAUCUUCUAGAGGCUCGAUUUCACGGCCAUCAACGUACUGAAGCACCAAAUCAUGGUGCUAUACCAGGAUUCAGAAACAACACAGCACAAACUGCAAACUUGUCAUUAUUUACGAUACAAGCAAGAUAGAGCUUUUCUUGCGUAAGAGGACCCCAAAGCAGAAUUGGGU